rnacentral:rRNA from 1 species
CCUACGGGAGGCAGCAGUAGGGAAUCUUCCACAAUGGACGAAAGUCUGAUGGAGCAACGCCGCGUGAGUGAAGAAGGGUUUCGGCUCGUAAAGCUCUGUUGGUAGUGACGAAAGAUAGAGGUAGAAACUGUCCUUUAUUUGACGGUAAUUACUUAGAAAGUCACGGCUAACUACGUGCCAGCAGCCGCGGUAAUACGUAGGUUGCAAGCGUUGUCCGGAUUUAUUGGGCGUAAAGUGAGUUCAGGCGGGUCCAUAAGUCUGAUGUGAACGCCUUCGGCUCAACCGGAGAACUGCAUCAGAAACUGUUGUACUUGAGUGCAGAAGAGGAGAGUGGAACUCCAUGUGUAGCGGUGGAAUGCGUAGAUAUAUGGAAGAACACCAGUGGCGAAGGCGGCUCUCUGGACAUCAACUGACGCUGAGGCGCGAAAGCAUGGGGAGCGAACAGGAUUAGAUACCCCUGUAGUC